CUAAUUGAAAUAAGAGAUAAAAAAGGAAACCUGAAAGCAGAAAAUUACCUUAAAUUACUCCAACUUUCCACUAAUUGCUCAUCCAUUAAUGAGCAUUAAAACUCAUUAUCUGCAAAAAUGGUUGCAUUAAAGCUAAAAAGAUUUAUUUUGGGAAGAUUAGAGAGAAGAAAGAGGAAUUAUUCAACAAUAAAUUUUAACAGGUAUUUUCUCAAUUCAAAUUUCGUUUAAAAAUUGUUGAAAGACAAUUUUUUUGAAAAUCAAAUUUGUGAAUUUGCGCUUAUAUUUGUGUAUUUGUUGUUUUCGACUAAAUUAUAUAAAUUUCAAUAUAUUUUGAUUCAUUAUUUUUCAUUAAUGUAUAAACGAUCUAUACAACAAUUUCAAUUGGUGAUUUAACACACGGAUUAUUAUAAUUUUUGAAACCUUAUAAUUGUUAGUUUAUUUUGAAUACAUAGUUACAGCCAAUUUGCGUACUGUAUUUGUUUACAAUUUUUUUUUAAAAGAUGGGGCAAUUACCAAUUGUUCUGAAGAAUCCAGGCGUAUGAACCUGUUAUAAUGAGUAUGAACAGUACGAGUUGGACUCAAUUGCAAUUGAAGAAACAGAAAAAUAUAAUGGUUUGAUUCAAUUGAUUGGUAAGCAACUUUGUAUUGAGUUGAAUUUUGUAACGACCCAAAAACGAGGGUCAUGAUGGCACUUGUCACGGCGUACCUUGACAAGUAAGACUAUCACCCAAAAUAAGGACUAAAAUACCCAAGAUAAGGCUUCCAGAUUGAAGCCGAACCAUAUAAAUAAUCAUAACAAUACAGACUGAACUUAUCCAAAACACCAAUCAUGCCCAAAACUAGGUGUCAAUAGUGUAAGAACUACUAAUACAAUCCAAGAGUCAAAUACAUCGGAAAAAUAACCACAAAUGAAUAAUAACUGUCUCCGAACACUAAUAAAGACAUAACUAGUAUAGAAAGAUAGAGGUGAACUUCGGACACAUGAAUGUCCAACCGCUACCUUGGAAGCUCCAACAACCGCCCAAAUCAAGUAAGCUAAGGUGCACUUGAGCUAGGACCUGAACCAAAAGGGCGCAGUAGGCAUGAGUACGGUCCACUUGUACUCAGUAGGUAUCAUAGGCCGACUAAGCAAAGUAGUAAAUAAGACAUACAAAAUACACACUAAGGGCAUGUCACCUGCAAUUAGAAAAUAUACCACAACAGUAGCCCACACCGCUUGCACUAAUAGUUCUAAUAUAUAUCACAUAUAUUGCAAAAACACAUCAAGAUAUAGAACACAAGUAUAGAUUAUAUCACAUAUAAAAUAGAGCAAGAGAGAAUAUGUAGAUACAAGAUCAUCAAAUACAAGUAAAGAAAGGUAAGACAAAUACAUAGAUGACAAGUCAGUAAGGCAAGACAAAUACAUAGAUGACAAGUCAGUAAGGCAAUACAACACAACAUAAACACAAUAAAGUAAGUGCAAUGUAUAUGAUAAUGAUGAUGAUGAUGAUGAUGAUGCACGAGGUUGUCGCAUAACCUCCGGGAUCGUCGCACAAUCCCCGUACACACCUACGGAGCCAAAGCUUCCCGACGUAAGACCCAUGGGGGGUUCAUCAACCCAUAUACAAACCACAUAUCUCAUAUCUCCUUUUCAGCACAUCCUUCGAAAAGGGUUUUAUAAGGUGUUACAAUAUUUUUAAAAAAGUGUUGCCAGUGUUUCUCAAAUAUUGCCAAGGUGGUACCAAUGUUUCAUUUAUAAGUAUGAUAUGAAGAUGUAAUGCUCACAAUCAAUCACAAUAAGUAUUUCCACAACCAACCACAACAAUACAUUUCCACAACCACAUGAGUCAAUAUUCACUCAUUAUUUUCAUUUCAUCCAUGAAUUUCCACAUGUUUCAUAUACCAGUAAAGUAUGAAUAUAAUCACAAUACACCCAUGGUACCACAUUAAACAAUAUAAUUACUCAUAUGUAUUCAAGGCUAUCAAUGUCACAUAGGACCCCACACGGUCAAACAUAUCACAUAAUAUUUUAAUUUCGAUAAUUACAUCACAUAUAGGCCCCCACACGGGCACAACAUAUAGAUAGCCAUUUUUCAUGAUUAGUUUCCACCCUUAACAUGCAUUUUGUACAAUCAUUUACAACCCAGCCUAGUCUGAAGAGUUAAGUCAUACCCUACCUCGAAAGCCGAAAUUGGUUCGCUACACUUGAACCCGCAAUCUUACUUUUCACGAACAAUCUCGAACUCUACUAAAAACAUCAAAUAUGAAAUCUACGCGUCAAAACAAAACCAACGACAUUCAUAUUGACUACUUUUGGUUCGAGGUCAAAAUGGAUCCCCAAAAUAGGUUUCCGAAAAAGAAGGGCAAAAUUGGAACUUUACUUUAAAAAUAUGUUUCCCAUAUCUUUAGGAACCUACAGCUGAAAACUCAAGUUAAAUCGAGUGAAGAAUGGGGUUAAAAUCGAAGAAAAACUAUUUUUUGAGCUUUACCGGGUAACAUCCUUGAAAUUCGGGUUAAAAUCAAGAAUCGGAGUUGUUUUGAAAGUUAAAUUGAUGAAAAACUAGCAAUUAUAAGAUAAUAAUAUUAUUCAAGUGAAAGGGGAUGAAAUUUGGGUUUAAAAUCAUGCCCUAAGAUUAUUGGGGUUUUGAGAAAUUUAUUAAGAAAUUUCUAAGAAAAGGGUGAAUUCUUACCUUAAAUCCAUAAUUAAAAUCAAGGAAUAGGUGUUAAUCUAGCUUCCCAAGCUCUCACAAGCUUCACUUUUAAGCUCCCAAAAUAUUUAGGUUUAACUCUCAAGAGACAAGAUGAAAAAUGAGCAAAAUGGGCCAAAAAUGUGAAAAAAGCUGCUAUAUAUAUUGCAGAUUUUUCUGCAUUACUGAGCAGUUUUUUAUUCUAACUCGAAAUGGACUUCGACGGGGUGCUCAGAAUUCGUUCGGAGUCCGUUUUAUGCAAACGAACUAUGCAACCACACUAAAUUCUACGUUCCGGAUGCGAUGAAAAUACCAGAUUUUUCAAAAAAAUUCAUUUUCACAAAAUUGACCCCCGAGACACGAAAUCACAAUUUUCCAAACCGAGGGUCGAAAUGAGAUUUAAAAGUCGUAAAAUCAUACCAAACAUGCUAACAUACUAAAAUCAAUAUUCCGGAUCUGUUGGAGAAGUCGUAUUUUCCAUACGAGGUCGUUUCAACCAAAAGUGGGUCCCACACCCAACUUUCCAAUUUUUCAACUUUUCGACCAAUAGGUCGAAAUGAGCUUGGGUGCACUAGGGCCCGAACCCAAGGUAUACCCAGCCUAAAAUCGAUAUUACGGAGCUGCUGGCGUAGUCCGUUAGGUCAUCCGCCUCAUGGAUCAAAAUAUAACCACAUAAGUCCAAAAUAAGACUCUCAAAGCCGUCAAAAACCACAAUAUUGCAUAAUGAUACCAAAAUGCAUCAAAAAUCAUGUCCACCACUCCCACACCCCAGAAAUACUAUAAUACAACUACGGGGAGGGGUAAAAUGGUCAAAUCACAUAAAAUCACAAAUUUCACAUAUUUCAUCAAAUUUUUAGGUCGUUACAUCAUCCACCACUAAAAAUCUAGUUCAUCCUCGAACUAAGGCAAGGAAAUACCUGAAUCAAUGAAAAAUUGGGGAUAGGAACUACGCAUAUCAGACUCAAUCCCCCAAGUAGUCACAUCUACAAGUCAAAGUUGUCACUAGACCUGAACCACAAGGAUCACUUUAGAGCGCAACUGCCUAACAUCCCCAGCCAAAAUGGGAACUGGCUCCUCAACAAAGGAUAACCGCUUAUCUAACUGAAUUGAAUCCCAACGAAUGACAUGAGACUUGUCAAGAAUAUAGCAACGAAGAAUAAAAAUAUGAAAACUGGAUGAACAACAGAUAGAUCAAGGGCCAAAGCCAACUCAUAAGCCACAUCACCAAUAGUCCGAAGAAUCUCAAACGGAUCAAUAUACCUGGGGCUAAGCUUGCCCCUCUUCCCAAACCUCAUCACACCCUUCAUGGGUGAAACUCGAAGGAAAACACAAUCACCAACACCAAAACUCAAGACACGAAGUCUACGAUCGGCAUAACACUUCUUCAUACUUUGGGUCUCUCUAAGUCUAUCCUGAAUGACCCGGACCCUAUUCAAAGACUCACGAAGCAAGUCUGUACCUCGAGGUCUCACCUCUGAAACAUCGAACCAACCUACUGGAGAGCGACAAUACCUACCAUACAAUGCCUCAAAAAGAGUCAUAUCAAUAAUGGAAUGGUAGCUAUUACUAUUUGCAAACUAUGCUAAAGCCAAAUACUGCUCCCACUAACCACCAAAAUCCAUCACGCACGCGCGGAGCGUACUCCAAAACCUGGAUAGUCCAUUCUGACUGGCCAUCAGUCUGGGGUGAAACGCUGAACUAAGAUCCACUCAAGUACCUAACUCCUCCUGAAAAAUCUUUCAAAAGUGAGAUGUGAACAAAGGACCUCGAUCUGAAAUAAUGGACACCGGCACACCAUGCAGACGCACAAUCUCACAAAUAUAGAUAUGAGCCAACCUCUCAACACUAAAUGAGACCUGAAUCGAAAUAAAAUGAGCUGACUUGGUCGAUCGAUCCACGAUGACCCAAACACUGUCAGAACCAUAAGAUGUAUGCGGCAAACCAGUCAUAAAGUCCAUAGUGAUGCGUUCCCACUUCCACUCAGGAAUGGGUAACCUCUGAAGUAAACUACCAAAUCUCAUAUGCUUGGCCUUCACCUGCUGACAACAUAGGCAACAAGACAUAAAAUCUGUUAUAUCUAGGCUCUUACCACCCCACCAGUAGUGCUGUCUCAAAUCACAAUACAUCUUAGUCACACCUGGAUGGAUAGAAUAUCUGGAACAAUAGGCCUCCUCCAAGAUCAACCUAAUUCGAUCACCACUUUCGGCAUACAAACUCCGCCCUCAAUCCUCAAAACUUCAUCUGAAUUAGGUGAGGAUUCCUUAGACUCUCCACUCAACAUCUUAUCUUAAAUCAACCUCAACCCAAAAUCGUCAAACUAAUGAGCUCAAAUCUGCUCCAUCAAAGAGGGUCUAGCAUCCACAAGUGCCAAAAUACGUGUUGGUGUUGAAAUAUCAAGCCUGACCAUCAGAUUAGCUAAAGACUGAACCUCCAAGGCCAACAACCUCUCCUGAGUCAAAAGAUGCACCAAGCUACCCAUGCUAGCCGACUUCUAGCUCAAGGGAUCCACAACUACAUUAGCCUUUCCCUAAUGGUAGAGAAUAGUCAAGUAAUAAUCCUUAAGCAACUCAAGCCAACGACGCUGCCUCCUAAGAAGAUCUCUCUGAUAAAGAAGUGCAAAAGGCUACGAUGAUAUGAGAAGAUCUCACAAUGGAAUCCAUACAAGUAGUGCCUCCAAAACUUCAAGGCAAACACAACUGCGCACAACUCCAAAUCAUGGGUAGGAUAAUUCCUCUCAUGAGGAUUCAAUUGACGAGAUGCAUAAGUAAUUACCUUGCCCUCCGCAUCAACACAACACCUAACCCAACACCUGAAGCAUCACAAAAGACAGUAAAGCCUACGCCUUUCUUAGGCAAACCUAAUAUAGGAGCUGAAGUCAAUAAAUCCUUGAGCUUCAGGAAGCUCGCCUCACAAGCUUCGGACCACUAAAAAAAAAUCUUCUUCUGGGUCAACUUGGUGAAUGGAGCUGCAAUAGAGGAAAAACCCUCAACAAAACGUCAAUAAUACUCAGCCAAGCCAAUAAAACUCUAAAUCUCGGUGGGCGAAGUAGGUUUAACCCAAAUCAUAAACCGCUGCAACCUUAGCUGGAUCAACCAUGAUACCUUUCUUAGUCACCACAUGACCCAAGAAAGAAAAUAGACACCAACCAAAACUCACACUUAGAGAACUUAGCAUACAACUUCUCAUCCAUCAAUCUUUAAAGCACAAUCCAUAAAUAUUCUUCUUACUCAACCUCACUCUUGGAAUAAACCUAGAUAUCAUCUAUAAAUACCAUAAUAAAGGAGCUAAUAUAUGAUCAAAACACUUAUUCAUCAACUCCAUGAAUGAGGCAGGGGAAUUGCUCAACCCAAAAGACAUGACUAAAAACUUAUAAUGACCAUAUCGAGUCCGAAAAGCUAUUUUCAGAAUAUCCAAAGCUCUAAUCCUCAACUGGUGAUAACCGAACCACAAUUCAAUCUUCGAAAACACCACAACGCCCUAAAGCUGAUCAAACAAAUCAUCAAUGCGAGGAAGAGGAUACUUAUUCUUAACCACCACCUUGUUCAACUACCGAUAAUCAAUACAUAUCUGCAUAGACCCAUUAUUUCUCUUUACAUACAAGACAAACGCAGCCCAAGGUGAAAUACUAGGUCGAAUAAAUCCCUUAUCCAACAACUCCUAUAACUGAUCUUUUAGUUUCUUUCAACUCUGUUGGGGCCAUCCUAUAAAGAGGAACUGAAAUGGGCUCGGUGCCUGACUUAACAUCAAUAAUAAAAUCAAUAUCUCAAUUCGAAGGAAUACUAGGAAAGUCCAUCGGGAACACCUCCAUAAACUCACGGGCAACACGGACAAAAUCUAAGAAAGGAGGUGAAAUAACACUUGUGUCAUGAAUAUGGGCCAAGUAAGAUAAACAUCCCUUCUUAACCAAUUUAUGAGCCUGAACAUAAGAUAUAACCCUCUUAGUACCCGAAUUAAGUGUACCCUUUUCAAGCUAUCCUUGUCACACUAACUAAAGCUAAAGUCACAGUCCUAGCAAAACAAUCUAAGACAACAUGAUAAGUAUCCAAACAAUCCAUAACCAAAAUAACAUCAAAAUCGACCAUAUCUAAUACAAGCAAGUCUACCAAAGUUUCACGUCCGGCAAAACUCACAAUACAAGAUCGGUACACCCGAUCCACCACUAAAGAAUCACCUACCGAGGUAGAUACACGAAUAGGCAUGGCAAGAGGCUCCCUAACCAAAUCAAAACCCAAAGAAAAAUAUACAGACACAUAGAAGAAAAUCAAUCCAGGAUCAAAUAAUAACAUGUAGGUCUGAAACAAAUAGAACGGUAGCUACGAUCAUAGCAUCUGAAACAUCCGCCUCAGAUCUGACUUAUAUAGUGUAGCACUAUCCAUGACUACCAUCUGACUGAGUGGCCCCAUAACCACUAACACGGGCUCUACUAUCUCUACCUCUAGCACCUUUGGUAGAACACCUACCUCUCACAGCUAAAAUAAGGUUAUCUCUAAACACGUGGCAAGAACAGUCUUUGGCCACAUGGCCAGUCUCAUCACACUCAUAACAACCUCUGUGACUAGUCUCAAUAGGAGAAGGUACAAUUGGGCCUGAACGGCCACCCUGAACUGCUGGACUAGAAGGUCCACCACCUAAACUCUGUAAUGCCGCCUGUACUGGCCUACCAUAGUAUCCACGAGAACCUCUAAAAUUUCUACCUCGAGAGGUCUGACUCCUGAACUCACCAAAAUAUUGCGUCUUCUUGGCGCCUACCUGAGAUGCGCUAAGCAUAUCCUUUGUCAUCUUAGCAUGAUCCAAAAUACUCUAAAAAGAAGCCCCAAACACAACUAUAUGAAAUGUAGCCAACAGAAGGAAGACAACCCAACCCUUCACAAACUUUUGAAUCUUCUCAAACUCGGUGGAAAUGCUAUCUUAGAAAUAUCAAGACAGGGUAUGAAAGCAUACCUUAUACUCAAAAACUGUCAUGGAUACCCGCUCCAAAUUAUCAAACUCGUCCCAUAUAUGAUCUCUCAAACUAAAACGCACAAAUCUCUCCAGAAAGGCAUCAACAAAUUGAUCCCAUGACAACUCAGGAGCAUUAACAAGCCUACAACCAACAAAUGAUAUCCAAUAAUCUCUCGUUGCAUCUCUCAACUAAUAAGAGGUAUAAGCAACUCCAUUUGCUUAGAAAGAGUGAAACACAACUCAGAAUACAGGGUAUGAAAGAAUUUCACACGAUAAAGAAUGAAACGAGGGAAUUUUCCUAAAGACAUCCUAUAGCCUCUCGAAGAUAGAUACGAACAUAUACGUACCGAUCUAUGAAACUCGAUUAGACAUCCCGUUCUUACACCGUUGAGACCAAUGAAACCUGGUUGGCUUUGAUACCAAUUUAUCAUGAUCAAAAAAUGAGGGUCAUGAUGGCACUUGUCACGGCGUACCUUGACAAGUAAGACUAUCACCCAAACUGAUACGAAUAGAGAAAAAAUACUAAAAUACCCAAGGUAAGGCUUCUAGAUUGAAGCCGAACCAUAUAAAUAAUCAUACAAAAUGGAAAGAACGUAUCCAAAACACCAAUCAUGCCCAAAACCAGGUGUCAAUAGUGUAAGAACUACUAAUACAACCAAGAGUCAAAUGCAUCGAAAAAAUAACCACAUAGGAAUAAUAACUAUCUCCAAACACUAAUAAAGACAAAACUAGUAUAGAAAGAUAGAGGUGAACUUUAGACGCAUGAAUGUCCAACCGCUACCUUGGAAGCUCCAACAACUGCCCGAAUCAAGUAAGCUGAGGCGCACUCGAGUUAGGACCUGCACCGAAAAGGCACAGUAGGCAUAAGUACGGUCCACUUGUACAUAGUCGGUAUAAUAGGCCGACUAAGCAAAGUAGUAAAUAAGGCAUACAAAAUAUACACUAAGGGUACGUCACCUGCAAUAAAAAAAUGUCCCACAAAAGUAGCCCACACCGCUUGCAGUAACAGUUCUAAUAUAUCUCACAUAUAUUGCAAAAACACAUCAAGAUAUAAAACACAAGUAUAGAUUAUGUCAUAUAUAAAACAGAGAAAGAGAGCAUGUAGAUAAAAGAUCAUCAAAUACAAGUACAGAAAGGUAAGACAAAUACAUAGAUGACAAGUCAAUAAGGCAAUACAACACAACAUAAACACAAUAAAGUAAGUGCAAUGUAUAUGAUAAUAAUGAUGAUGAUGAUGAUGCAUGAGGUUGUCGCACAAUCUCCUUAUACACCUACGGAGCCAAAGCUUCCCAACAUAGGACCCAUGGGGGAUUCGUCAACCCAUAUACAAUCCACAUAUCUCAUAUCUCCUUUUUGACACGUCCCUCGAAAAGGGUUUUACAAGGUGUUACAAUAUUUUUAAAAAGGUGUUGCCAGUGUUUCUCAAAUGUUGCCACGGUGGUACUAAUGUUUCAUGAAUAAGUAUGAUAUGAAGAUGUAAUGCUCACAACCAAUCACAAUAAGUAUUUCCACAACCAACCACAUGAUAUAUUUCCACAACCAACCACAAUGAUACAUUUCCACAACCACAUAAGCCAAUAUUCACUCGUUAUUUUUAUUUCAUCCAUGAAUUUCCACAUGUCUCAUAUGCCAGUAAAGUAUGAAUAUAAUCACAAUACACCCAUGGUACCACAUUAAAAAAUACAAUACAAUUACUCACAUGUAUUCAAAGCUAUCAAUGUCACAUAGGACCCCACAUGGUCAAACAUAUCACAUAAUAUUUCAAUUUUGACAAUUACAUCACAUAUAGGCCCCCAUAUGGACACAACACGUAGAUAGCCACUUUUCAUGAUUAGUUCCCACCCUUAACAUGCAUUUUGUACCAUCAUUUACUACCCAGCCCAGUCUGAAGAGUUAAGUCAUAACCUACCUCGAAAGCCGAAACUGGUUCGCUACACUUGAACCCGUGACCUUACUUUACACGAAUAAUCCCGAACUCUACUAAAAAUAUCAAAUAUGGAAUCUACGCAUCAAAAUAAAAGCAACGACACCCAUAUUGACUACUUUUGGUUCGGGUUCAAAACGGAUCUCCAAAAUAGGUUUUCAAAAAAAAAAGGGCAAAAUUGAAAUUUUACUUUAAAAAUAUGUUCCCCAUAUUUUUAGGAACCUACAGAUGAAAACCCAAGUUAAAUCGAGUGAAAAACGGGGUUCAAUCGAAGAAGUUAAAUCGAGUGAAAAACGGGGUUCAAAUCGAAGAAAAACCAUUUUUUGAGCUUUACCGGGUAAAAUCCUUGAAAUCCGGAUUAAAAUCAAGAAUUGGAGUUGUUUUGAAGGUUAAAUUGAUGAAAAACUAGUAAUUAUAAGAUAAAAUAUUAUUCAAGUGAAAGGGGAUGAAAUUUGGGUUUAAAAUCAUGCCCUAAGAUUUUUGGGGUUUUGAGAAAUUUAUCAAGAAAUUUCUAAGAAAAGGGUGAAUUCUUACCUUAAAUCCGCAAUUAAAAUCAAGAAAUAUGUGUUAAUCUAGCUUCCCAAGCUCUCACAAACUUCACUUUUAAUCUUCCAAAAUAUUUAGGGUUUAACUCUCAAGAGACAAGAUGAAAAAUGAGCAAAAUGGGCCAAAAUGUGAAAAAGUUGCUAUAUAUAUUGCAGAUUUUUCUGCAUAACUGAGCAGUUUUUUAUUCUAACUCAAAAUGGACUUCGACGGGUGCUCGAGAUUCGUUCGGAGUCCGUUUUAUGUAAACGAACUAUGUAACCACACUAAAUUUGACGUUCCGGACGCGAUGGCGAUACCAUAUUUUUCAUAAAAAUUCGUUUUCACAAAAUUGACCCCCGAGAUCUGAAAUCAUAAUUUUCCAAACCGAGGGUCGAAAUGAGAUUUAAAAGCCGUAAAAUCAUACCAAACAUGCUAACACACUAAAAUAGAUAUUAUGGAUCUGUUGGAAAAGUCGAAUUUUCCAUACGAGGUCAUUUCAACCAAAAGUGGGUCCCACACCCAACUUUCCAAUUUUUCAACUUUCCGACCAAUAGGUCAAAAUUAGCUUGGGUGCACCAGGAUCGAACCCAAGGUCUACCAAGACUAAAAUCGAUAUUUCGGAACUGCUGGCGUAGUCCGUUCGGUCAUCCAUCGCACAGAUCAAAUUAUAACCACAUAAGUCCAAAAUAAGGCUUUCAAAGCCAUAAAAAACCACAAUAUUGCAUAAAUGAUAUCAAAAUAUAACAAAAAUUAUAUCCACCACUCCCACACACCAGAAAUACCAUUAUGCAACUACGGGAAGAGGUAAAAUGGUCAAAUCACAUAAAAUCAUAAAUUUCACAUAUUUCAUCAAUUUUUUAGGUCGUUACAAAUUUAAAAACAUUAAAAGUUGAAUAUAAAGUUGAUUUAGCAGUAAAAGAAUGGAGAUACGUAACGACAUGGGAUUGGCAGUUUAUGUAAUGGUACGAAAAAAAAAGAAUAAGGAUUCGAAAACUAUCCAUUAUAUGUUUCUGUAUAUGAUAAAAUCAUGAAAAACGAAAGCGCUUGCUCGAAUGUUGAAUGCAAAAUUUCUGUUGUUUAUGAGAAAAAAGGAAAUUCUAGAGAUGACGAUGCAUUGGUUGAAGUUGUUAAUAUAAAUGGACAUGAUCGGACAAUUAUUUCUGAUCCAAAUCAUAAUGAAGUGCUCGUUGGUCAAGUUUAUAAGGACAAAGCCACUUAAAAGUCUGUGAUAAGGCUUUAUGCGACCAGAAAUAGAUUCCAAUUCAAUAUGAUAUAAUCAAAUGCAGUCGGGUAGGUGUAUUUAACGUAUUAAAGCAUUUGUAUUUUUAUUCUAUACAUGGUUUUGUCUUAUGAUAAAAAUAUAUUUAUGUAUUUAUGUAUAUAUAAUAUGGAUAAGUUUAUUAAGUUUAUUCAUAUUAUUGUCUAACUAGAUACAUACAAUUGUUAUUAUAGGUUCCUAUUCAUACAUAAUUUGAUAAACAGAAUUGUAUACGUUAGCAAAUCAGUUUUGAAGUUUUUUAAAAUACAAUUUUUUUUGUACAAAUUACUAAUAGAUAACUUUUACAUCGCAUGUAUAAUUUGGUGUGUAAAUCAAAGGGAUGUAGUUGGUUUCUAAUGGCAUCUAGUAAUAAAAAGACUGACUUCUUUAAGAUUUGCCGAUUUUGUCAGGAGCAUACUUGUCCUUUAAAGGAUCUGGUGUACAAGCAGAAAUAUGUUAGAAGUGCAUUGAUUGGCUGAAUUGUGAAGAAGAUGUUAUCCAAACAUAAAAGAGUGUAUACGGCGAAACACAUACAUAAUUUUGUUAUGACUUGUGACUAAUUGUAGUUCGAACAAUGAUCAAUUACAUGACGCAUUUUGUUGUCUACUUUGUUUGCAUAUUAAAUUGAAAUUGUAAGUUUUCAUGCUAUAUACUUUGUUAUAUACUUUGUUUUCAUGUUAUAUACUGACUGUAAGUUUGCAGAUAUAUUUCACUUUACAUUAUAACUGUAUCAAUAUGCAGCCUAAUGUAAUAAUUU
rnacentral:lncRNA from 1 species